rnacentral:rRNA from 1 species
AACUAACGCUGGCGGCGUGCCUAACACAUGCAAGUCGUACGAGAAAGCCGGCUUCGGCUGGUGAGUAAAGUGGCGCACGGGUGAGUAACGCGUGGAUAAUCUGCCCUUAAGUGUGGAAUAACGUACCGAAAGGUGCGCUAAUACCGCAUAAUGCCUGGCAACACAAGUUGUCCGGCCAAAGAAGGCCUCUGUUUACAAGCUUUCGCUUCAGGAUGAGUCCGCGUACCAUUAGCUUGUUGGUGGGGUAAUGGCCUACCAAGGCUGCGAUGGUUAGCUGGUCUGAGAGGAUGAUCAGCCACACUGGAACUGAGACACGGUCCAGACUCCUACGGGAGGCAGCAGUGAGGAAUAUUGCGCAAUGGGGGCAACCCUGACGCAGCAACGCCGCGUGAGUGAGGAAGGUUUUCGGACUGUAAAGCUCUGUCGAGCGGGAAGAAGUGUACCAUGGCUAAUAUCCAUGAUAUUGACGUACGCUAGAGG